AUGGUGGCGGGGGUGACCGGGUGGGGGGUUGAAGCAGAAGCGUUCUAGGAUGCACCUGAUGUAGAGCCGUCGGGGGCAAGGGUGGCAUUGGUAAGAGCACCUGCAGCUGCAGCCUGGCGGUCCAGCUCUCUAAGGGAUGUGAGAGUGUCCUAAUCAUUUCCACAGACCCAGGGAACAACAUCUCAGAUGCUUUUGAUCAGAAGUUCUUCAAGGUGCCUACCAAGGUCAAAGGCUAUGACAACCUCUUUGCUAUGGAGAUAGACACCAGCCUGGGCGUUGCAGAGCUCCCGGACGAUGAGUUCUUCAAGGAAGACAACAUGCUGAGCAUGGGCAAGAAGAUGAUGCAGGAGGCCAUCAGUGCCUUCCUUGGCAUUGAUGAGGCCAUGAGUUAUGCUGAGGUCAUGAGGCUGGUGAAAGGCAUGAUCUUCUCAGUGGUAGUGUUUGACACAGCACUCACCAGCCAUACACUCAGGCUCCUGAACUUCCCCACCAUUGUGGAGCAGGGCCUGGGCCGCCUGAUGCAGAUCAAGAACCAGAUCAGCCCCUUCAUCUCACAGAUGUCCAACAUGCUGGGUCUGGGGGACAUGAAUGCUGACCAGCUGGCCUCCAAGCUAGAAGAGACGUUGUCCAUCAUCCGAUCCAUUAGCGAACAGUUCAAGGACCCUGAACAGACAACGUUCAUCUAUGUGUACAUCGCUGAAUUCUUGCCCUUGUAUGAGACGGAGGGGCUGAUCCAGGAGCUAGCUAAGUGCAAGAUCAACACCCACAAUAUCAUCGUCAACCAGCUUGUUUUCCCUGACCCUGAAAAACCCUGCAAGAUGUGCGAGGCUCCACACAAGAUCCAGGCCAAAUACCUGGAUCAGAUGGAAGACCUAUAUGAAGACUUCCACAUUGUAUAGCUGCCACUGUUACCUCACGAGGUUCGGGGAGCCGACAAAGUCAACACCUUCUCUGCCCUCCUCUUGGAGCCCUACAAGCCCCCCAGCACUCAGUAGCCACCCCCACCCCAGCUGCUGCCACUUCAUACCCUCCUCUUUUGCCAAGGGGCAGAGUUUGCACAAAGUCUCCCAUCAUGCAGGGGGAGGCAC